UAUUCUUUUAUCAUUAAUUACCAUCUUGUUUCCAUGCACUGUCACACGCCUUUGUGAUUUGUUCUACACAUGAAGUAUGUGACUGAUUGAUGCCUCUCUUCUGCUGCAAGCUCCUGCAAACUGAAAAACACUGCAUAUUUAAAAGCAAAAGUAUUCGGCUUGUGCUUUGCACUAAAAGUCUACUUAGAUCUUUAGUGGGUCACAAGUGGGACCUAGCCACUGAUACGAACAGCUGUUGCGAAAUUGCAUUCCAUACGCAAACACGUUAAAAAGGAAAAAAAAACCCUCCUUAAAUGGCUGCAGAACACACAAUUAUGUAACUUUCUUUUUUAUUUUUAGGCAGUUUAAGGAGAGUAACUUGAUAUUCCAGAAUGCAGACUGAAUUUAGUCUGAAACUGAAGCCCGCUGGUGUAGAUUUCUCAACCCACAUAUUGAAGAUGCACAAAUAUGUAUUUAGUUAUCUUAAUUACCCUCCAUGUUCUGAAGACCCUGAUCAUACCGAAGAGUUGUCAGCCGUAUUUUAUUCAUGUAUGUCCUUGUUUGUGUAUUCUGUUUUAUCUGCUUUUAUGCAUCCUUAAUUUUAAUAUUGUUUUACACAGUGUUUAUGAAUUGCGGCACUUUGGUCAGUCCUUUUAAAUGCAUUUGGAUUCGACUGGGUUGAAAAAAGAGGUUUAGUUAAACAUUCAUCGCUUGGGAAAUCAAUAAGUGACCAUCAAUGGCUAAAAGAAGGUCAGGUAUCCGUGGGAACAAAGUGUAACAACAUCCCACAGAAACACAACAUGCUGCCAGCUGGACUGAUGAGAUAUGACAGCAUUGGAACACGGAGAAAAAGAGUCAUAAUGUUAUUGAGAAUAAAGUUGUAAAGAUGAAAAAAGUUGCAAUAUUACCAGUGUCAUCCGGUCAGGGGAGGCAGGUGCGGCAGAGAAUCACUUGUCAUAAUGAAAAACAAAAAAAACCCACUAAUAAUAACAUAAAAUAAAUUUAAAAAGAAACAUAAACCAAGUCCAUUGGCUACUAUUGAGCAUAUUAGCAGGAGACUUACUGCCACCUUGGCAUGCUUUUCCACGGUCGAAUGUCUUGUGGGCUUUUGACUUUUUAUUUCCAUCUGCGUGUUACUAUGGAAACAUUUUUUCAUGGCGGAAAUAACAAGAUUAACAUGUGUUUGGUGUCAUGAGCACUUUAAGAGGAUACGUCAAAUAAGGUGACAAUAAUUUCCUUUGUGCCGCACAGUGGCUGAGUGAUUAGCAUGUUGGCCACACAGUCAGGAGAUCGGGAGGACCUGGGUUCGAAUCUCCGUUGGGCAUCUCUGGGUGGAGUUUGCGUGUUCUCCCCGUGCGAGCGUGGGCGGGUUUUCUCCGGGUACUCUGGUUUCCUCCCACAUUCCAAAAACAUGUUAAUUGGUAACUCUAAAUUGUCCAUAGGUAUGAAUGGUUGUUUGUCUAUAUGUGCCCUGCCAUUGGGUGGUGACCAGGCCAGGGUGUACCCGCCUCUCGCCUGAAGUCACCUGGGAUAGGCUCCAGCAUAACCCAGUGACUCUAAUUAGGAUAAGCGGCAUAGAAAAUGGUUGGAUGGAUGGAUAAUUUGCUUUGUUUAAAAAAAAAAUAUAUAUAUAUAUUUUCAAGUAUCAAGUAUCUAUUUACAGCAUGUAAAUGGAGCGUUGAUGGCAGUUUUUUAGUUAGCUUUUAGAGGGUCUGAAUCCCAGUGAUGUGCAUUCUUAGUGAAAAACUGCCAGCACGAGGCGACUAUCUGGAGCACACAAAAAAGGGAAAGAUGUGUUCUUGUCUCACAUAAGGAUUGUGGAUGAUGGGCAAAAUUCCAAAAAAGUGCAGUUUUCCUUUGAAGGUAACAUUUUUAUUACUUUCCCUAUGUUCCUAUUUUCGUGAAGGACCCUUAGCCGGGAAGACUUCUAUCAAGGUUCAAUUGAAUGCUAUGUAACAAGACAGCAGUUGCUGUUGUCCUUUCACGCUGCUUGGCGAUAACAAUGAAGUUAAUGAUACUAUAACACAUGUUGACAUAAACGAACAUCACUUGGGUUCGCAAAUUUUAUGGCGACAAAAGCUGCCGACUGUGUAUGUCGACGUUUAGUAAUACUGGGACUUGACGAGUUUUUCCACAUAGAUGAGUUGUUGACAUAAGUGGGUUCCACUGUAUAUAUAUUCAAAUUUAAUGUUAACGUUCUUUGACGAAUACCUACAAUAAAAAAAAAAUCCAGGUUGAUAUACAGUAUCAGACAGCUGUUGACAGGAAGUUUGGCACAAACACAGAAAGAAAUAACGCAAAGAAUACCUGCUGCAUGUGUUCAAUGAUGUUUGCUCAGGUUUCCACUUGCAGCUGAGCAGUCCACUUAGAACCACGAUGUCGUCUUUGGCCAUGUUGGGCCUCACGGGAACCAGGCAAUUGGUGAGUUUUUCGGGCUCCAGCAGGAUCUUCAUGACCUGUUUGCCUCAUCGCCUGCUUGUCCUGAGGACCAGAUGCCCCGCCUCCACCUCCAACCUCCACAAAUGCAUCAGUACCACAGCUCCUUGUCAGACUCCGACGUCACCUGCAGCCCAACACAAAUCGUACAGUUACAUCAUUGUAGGGGCGGGGUCAGCGGGAUGCGUCCUGGCCAACCGCCUCACAGAGGAUGCCCAGGAGUCUGUUUUGCUGCUGGAGGCGGGGCCUAAGGACAUGUUGCUGGGCAGCGUACGGUUAUCAUGGAAGAUCCACAUGCCAGCUGCGCUGACCUACAAUCUUUGUCACGACAGGUACAACUGGUACUACCACACUUUGCCUCAGGCUCACAUGGGCAACCGAGUCAUGUACUGGCCAAGGGGGCGCGUGUGGGGCGGGUCGUCGUCGCUCAACGCCAUGGUGUACAUCCGUGGUCACGCCGAGGACUACAAUCGCUGGCAGAGGGAGGGGGCGCAAGGUUGGGAUUACGACCAUUGCCUGCCUUACUUCAGGAAGGCUCAGUGCCAUGAGAUGGGGGAAGACAGGUACCGCGGCGGUAGCGGUCCGCUACACGUAUCCCGAGGGAAGACCAACCAUCCUCUUCACAAGGCUUUUAUUGAGGCGGGACAGCAGGCGGGAUACCCCUUCACUGAGGACAUGAACGGAUACCAACAAGAAGGCCUGGGAUGGAUGGACAUGACCAUUUUUAAAGGGAAGCGAUGGAGCACAGCCAGUGCCUACCUGAGGCCCGUCUUGGGUCGACCCAACCUGAAGACGGAGGUGCGCUGCCUAACCACCAAAAUCCUGUUUGAUGGCCGGCGAGCUGUGGGUGUGGAAUACGUGCAGAAAGGAGAGUCAAAACGGGUGUUUGCAGAUAAAGAGGUGAUCUUGAGCGGCGGCGCCAUCAACUCACCACAGCUUCUCAUGUUGUCUGGAGUGGGAAACGCAGAUGACCUCAAGCAACAUGGCAUUCCUGUGGUCCAACACUUACCUGGUGUUGGCAGCAACCUGCAGGAUCAUUUGGAGCUGUACGUCCAGCAGCAGUGCACCCAGCCCAUCACACUCUACAAAGCCCAGAAACCUUUCCACAUGGUCAAAAUAGGCCUGGAGUGGCUCUCCAUGUUCACUGGUUACGGCGCAACAGCCCACCUGGAGAGCGGAGGCUUCAUCCGCAGUCGGUCGGGUGUUGCACAUCCCGACAUUCAAUUUCAUUUCCUGCCCUCGCAAGUCAUCGACCACGGGCGCGUAGCCUCCAAGAUAGAAGCCUAUCAGGUUCAUGUCGGACCAAUGAGAAGUACCAGUAUUGGCUGGAUGAAGCUGAGGAGCACCAACCCAAUGGACCACCCCAUUCUGCAGCCCAACUAUCUGUCUACCGAUGUUGACGUUUGGGAGUUCAGACAAUGCGUCAAACUCUCUCGGGAGAUUUUUGCCCAGAAGGCCUUCGACCCGUUUCGCGGCACCGAAGUCCAGCCUGGAUCUCGGGUCCAGUCCGACACCGACAUCGACACCUUUGUGCGGUCCAAGGCUGAUAGCGCGUACCACCCAUCGUGCACAUGCAAGAUGGGCGCGCCCUCCGACCCCAUGGCAGUGGUUGACUCCCAGACGCGUGUGCUUGGUGUGGAGCGUCUGCGCGUUGUUGACGCGUCCAUCAUGCCGAGCAUUGUCAGCGGAAACCUGAACGCUCCCACCAUCAUGAUCGCUGAGAAAGCAGCGGACGUCAUCAGAGGUCGGCCGCCGCUUGUCGACAUGCAGGUUCCUGUUUAUCAGCCGCCGACACUUGACACGCAGAGAUAGUAAAUCUCAAACAUUUGGUUUACAUUUAGUGACUAAACUUACAAAAUAUUUUUUUGUACACAGGUCACAAUUUCAGUCGGGCCAUGUUCAAAAUUUAUGUGCUUGGAGAUCUCAGCAUGAGCCAAAAACGACAACUCUUUUAAUUUUAAUGCUUUUAAGAUCUUUUCAGUGAUCUCGCAAAAUAGUUGAAUCAGAGUCCAAACAGUAGAUCCACCAUUUAGCCACGUGUGCCUUUCAAACAAAUGGCAGCAAACUGACUUUGUUGUCCAAAAUCUAGCCUUCAUGCUGGAAUUUCGACAGGUUAAAAGUGCUUUUAGUAAGUCCUAUUGGGAACACGCUGCUUUUUGUGUCUGUAGCUUUCAUGCUAAUGAACUGUGUUUGCCCACGCCUUUCUCCUAAGAAGCCCUUUAUCCAAUUUUUACGUAUACAGUGUAACUGCACUUGUCCAUUGUAAUACUGUAGAUGCUAUAUAUCACAUACAACAACAUAACAUUAAGGAGUGGGACGGGAGGACACGGACGUUAGCAACACUAGCCUAGCUAUGUGAGCUACAGUGCUAUCAUUAACACUCAAAUUUUAACAGCAACAUCAUGCUAGGUUAGCCUAUUGGCUUAUAAAAAACCCCCCAAAUGAUUAAACCUACAGCUCCCACGUCUGUAGCUGAUUGACUGACUGAGAACUCUGAGCUUUAUUUUAAGAUGUGUAGAGAAGCCUACUUUUUUUUUGCAAAGCUGCCCUCUGUGAAGUGGCUAUAGUGGCCUUACAUGUAUUAGUUAUUCAUGAGUUAUUCAUUAGUUAUUCAUAAGGUAUUCAUUAUUCAUUAGAAUAUCUCAGGAUUACAGUACACCAAAAACAUGGGAGUCAAAGGGGUGGAGCAUCAAGCUCCUCAUGUCCAUGAGGAAGGAGGUUUUUCUUCCUGAUGUCAUGAAAAGCCGCAACUUCAAAAGCGAACGUGUGCCACUUGUGGGAGAUGAUGGAUUUUGUCACGUUUGGUGCUCAUAAACAUCGUACUGUUAGAACAUAAUUAAAAAAAAAAAUAGAACAUCAUUAAAAAGUCACUUUUGCAUUACAGGGGACCUUUAAGUAACAUUUUUACACUUUAGUAUAAAAAAAAGUUAACUGCUAUUAAUGUUAACGAUCCAAAAAACAGUAGCUUUUGAUAACAUUUAUGUUUGCAUUUAAUGUGUUAUCAAUUCAUCAAACAACAUCCGUUUUAAUUUGUUUUCCCCUGUGUCCUCAUAUACAGUAAUUUGAUGUCUCAGCAUGUUUCUUUGCUCAAUCUGAGGCGAUAACAUAUCAGCGAGGUCUUCCUUCCUGUUCCAAAAUAGAACAUAGGGGUCCUGUUGUAGCGUUGUUAUCUCUGCCCACCUUGGCCUGCUGAUGUUGUCAGCCCUACAUGAUGAUUGCAUCAUUUGCUGAAUUAGCCACUUUUAUUCGCUCAAAUGGUCGUAAUGUGUGUGAAUUGACAUAGAAUAAGACAAAAUCAUGCUCUCAAUUCUGCUUCACACAAACAACCAAUGCUUGUUAUACUUCGUUGUGUUUUUUUCCCAACUCAUAACUUUUUGUUUCUUUCUACUUGCAUCCUAACAAGAAACACUUGUGUUAUUUGGCAUUAAUGUCCUUUGUUAAUUAUUUCUAGCAAAACAGAUGCUGUGCAGCUGCGGUGCUUUUUUGUUGUUGCUUUAUUUACACUUGUUUACAAGACUGACUGUUUUUUUCCAAGCCAGUGGAACUUCUAAACUGAUUCUACCCAUAUGACAUAAUGUAAAGGGAAUUAAUCCAUUCCAGUGUCAAACUCUGGCCAUCGUAAAUUCUUUAGUAACUGUACAGGCAAUAUUUUAAGUCCCAAUGUACACAUUCUUAAAACAAGUGAGUGUUGUAUAAUCAAACUACAAUGAAGCUAAACUACUCACCCUUUGAGGACGAUGCCUCAGAGACAACUGCAGAGCUAUACUGUCACCUGGGGUAUUUUACAGGCACCGCUGGAAUGAAUUGGUGACUGCCUUGGAGUACAGUAUGUACUGUUUAAGCCAGUGCUAUUCAAAAGCUUCCUUUCUCAUUUUCAUGCUAUUAUGAUGCCAACUACAUGCUAUUUAUGUUAGCAUCUACUUGGUAUAUUAAAUGUAUGCAUGUAUGUAAUGGAUAGUUGCAAAUUGAUUGCAAUGCUCUUACUGUACUGAGCAGCCAGAGGUUUCUUAUAGUACGUCGCUGUAAGUUGAAUAUCCUGGUUCUAUGGUUAGCAUCACACUUUUCUGCCAUCAGUGUUACCCUUCUAUGGUGGCAUCACAAAAUUUACACAAAGCCAAAGAAAAAGCAGAACUUGUGGAUAUAAUUCUUUGUCUGAAGUUCAGAACAAUAUGUUGACAUAUUUUAUGAUGUCAGCUGAUGAAGGCUGGAAUUACAAGUUUAGUUUGACUUUUGGGACAUAUUCUUACAGAAAAAAAAUGGGGUGUUGACUUUAGAGGUUCCACUGUGAACACACACACACAAAAAAAAUACAAUAUAGUGUAUAUACACAAAUAUAUAUAUAUACAUACACACAUACAUACAUAUACAUAUAUGCAUACAUAUACACAUGUAUACACACAUGUAUACAUACAUGUACAUAUAUAUACACAUGCAUAUACAGUAUAUACACAUAUACAUAUAUAUAUAUAUAUAUAUAUAUAUAUACACAUAUACAGCCACACAUAUAUACAGAUAUACAUACACACAUAUACGGAAAUGUACAUACACAUACAUACAUACACACACAAACAUACGUAUACAGUACAUAUACACACACACAUCAAAUUUUAAAGACCAUUUGAAAAAUUGCUAGAAUUUUCCUUUUGCACAUUUGGAUCUUAAAGAGGUUUUCAAUAGAGCUACAAUAUCCAAAAUCAAGAAGGGGGAGCAUUUUGAAAAAGUAAUUUAUUGAAAACGACAAUGAAACAGACAAUUUCAGUUUAUCAGCUGAUCAAAAGUUUCACACCAUCGCUCCACAAACUCUCCAAACCAGAACAAAAAAUGUUCUCAGUAGGACUCAGUAAUGACCGCUCUUGUAAAUCAGGCAUGCUUGAUGCGAGUGUUUCCAGGAGGCGAGUGGGAACAUUGCUCCAAGUGAGUGAUGUUAUUCUCCCUGAAGAAGUCCUUGGUCAACGCUGCAGUUCACAAUGCUCGCUUGUCCUGUUGAAAAACCCAGCUGUUACCACACAGAUGAGGGCCCUCAGUCAUGAGGGAUGCCUCCGCGGUUUGACGACCCUGAACCACCUAAAGCUCCCGUGUUCCACUGAAUGAAAAAGCACCUCAGAUCAUGAUGGACCCCCCCUCCACUGUAGAAAACAUCUCAGGUGGGAUCUCCUUGUCAUGCCAGUAACUUUGGAAGCCAUCUGGACCGUCAAGGUAAAAUUUUCUCAUCAGAGAAUAAAACUUUUUUCCACCUUUAAAUGUCCCAUGUUUGAUGCUCCCUGGCAAAGUCUAAACGGGCAGUUUUGUGGCGUUGAAGAAGACGAGGUCUUUGAAUAACUUUUUUGUUUUUUAAUAAACCUGAGUAAACACAAGAGGAGGGACCGCAUCUCGCCCGGACGUGGGAUACGGGGGCCUCACCCUGGAGCCAGGCCUGGGGUAGGGGCUCACAGGCGAGCGCCGGGUGGUUGGGCACUCACCCGUGGGGCCCGGCCGGGCCCAGCCCGAACAAGCCACACGGGAUCUCACCCCCGUAGACCCACCACCUGCGGGGGCAAGCAUAAGGGUCUGGUGCAUUGUGCUUUGAGUGGCGGUUGAGGGCGGGCGCAGGGUCUUCGGCAGCCAAAUCUGGCUCUUGGGACAUGGCGGGGAAGAAGCCUGAACUUGUGAGAGGAUGAGACAUUCUGACCAGAUAUAUUCGGACUCACCUCGACUCACAGUUUGGGUUAUGGAACCAAACUCCUCGAGAGGGGCUGGACCUUGUUCUACUCUGGAGUUGCUGCAGGGGAGAGGCGGUGAGCUGGUGUGGGAUUAUUAAUAGCCCCCCGGCUCGGUGCCUCUGUGUUGGAGUCAUCCCCGGUUAACGAGAGGGUCAUUUCCCUAUGUUUUCGGGUUGGGGAAAGGGUCCUGACUGUCAUUUAUGCGUACGCGCCGAAUGGCAGUUCAGAGUACCCAGCCAUCUUGGAGUCCAUCAGAGGGGUGCUAGAGACCACCCCAACUGGUAACUCGGUCAUUUUACUGGGAGACUUCAACGCUCAUUUGGGCAAUGACAGUGUGACUUGGAGGGGCGUGAUUGGGAGGAACGGCCUCUUCGAUCUGAACCCGUGCGGUGUGAUGUUGGUGGACUUCUGUGCGAACCCCAGUUUCUCCAUCACAAACACCAUGUUGGAACAUAAGGAUGUCCACAAGUGCACAUGGCACCAGAACACCUGCCGCAGGUCUAUUAUCAACUUUGUAGUCGUAUCAUCAGGCCUGCGUCCGCAUAUUCUGGACACGCGGGUGAAGAGAGGGGCUGAGCUGUCAACUGAUCACCACCUGGUGAUGAGUUGGAUUAGAUGGCAGGAGAGGAUGCAGACCUGGGAGACCCAAACAUGUAGUGAGGGUGUGCUAGGAACGUUUGGCAGAAUCUCCUGUUUGUCGAGUCUUCAAUUCUCACGUCCGGCAGAGCUUUGUCUGCAUUCGAGGACGAGGAUAUUGAGUCUGAAUGGGCUCUGUUCCGUGCUUCCAUUGCUGAGGCAGCCGAUCGGAGCUGCAGCUGCAAGGUGGUUGGUGCCAGCCGUGGCGGCAAGCCCCGAAGCCGAUGGUGGACACCAGAGGUUAGGGCUGCCGUCAAGAUGGAGUCCUAUUGAGCAUGGAUGGCUUGUGGGACUCCUGAAGCAGCUGAUAGGUACCAGCAGGCCAAGCAGCAUGUGGCUUCGGCGGUGGUCGAGGCAAAAACUCGGAUGUGGGAGGAGUUUGGUGAAGCUAUGAGCACGACUUUCGGUAGGCCUCGAAGAGGUUCUGGCAAACCAUCCGGCACCUCAGAAAGGGGAAGCAGUGUCCAGUCCACACUUUGUACACUGGGGACGGGGGCCUGCUGACCUUGACUGAGGAUAUAGUCGGACAGUGGAAGGAAUACUUUGAGGCCCUUCCCACUGACAUACCUUCCAUAGAGGACGCAGAGUCUGAGGACACAAACGCGGACAGUUCCAUCACAGUUGCUGAGGUAUCUGGGGUAGGCAAAACGCUCCCAAGUGCCAAAGCUCCGGCAGUGGACGAAUUUCACCCUGAAUUCCUCAAGGCUCUGGAUGUUGAGGGACUUGACACGUCUCUUCAACAUUGCGUGGAAGUUGGGAACAGUACUUCUGGAUUGGCUGACCGGGGUGGUGGUCCCCCUUUUCAAGAAGGGUGACCGGAGGGUGUGUUUCAACUAUAGGGGGAUCACACUCCUCAGCCUCCCUGGGAAAGUCUAUUCCAGGGUGCUGGAGAGAAGGGUACGACCGCUAGUCAAACCUCGGCUACAAGAGGUGCAUUGUGGUUUUGGUCCCCGUCACGGAACACUGGAUCAGCUCUACACCCUUGCAAGGGUACUGGAGUGUACUUGGGAGUUUGCCCAACCGGUCUACAUGUGCUUUGUGGACUUGGAAAAGGCAUUCGACCGUGUCCCUCGCCGUGUCCUGUCGGGGGUGCUCCGGGAGUAUGGGUUUUGUGGUGCGCACUACGUGCCAUUUGGUCCUUGUACAACCGGAGCAGGAGCCUGGUUCGCCAGCAGUAAGUCAUGCCUGUUUCUGGUGAACGUUGGCCUCCACCAAGGCUGCCCUUGGUCACUGGUUCUGUUCAUAAUUUUCAUGGACAGAAUUUCUAGGCGCAGCCAAGGCGUCGAGGGAGGCCAGUUUGGUGGCCUUAGGAUCUCGUCUCUACUAUUUGCAUGGUCAUAAGCUUUGGGUCGUGACCGAAAGAACGAGAUCGCGGAUACAAGUGGCUGAAAUGAGUUUCCUCUGUAGGGUAGCUGGAGAUCGGUCAUCCGGGAGGAGCUCAGAGUAGAGCCGCUGCUCCUUCACAUGGAGAGGAGCCAGUUGAGGUGGCUCGGGCAUCUAGUCCGGAUGUCUCCCAGACGCUUCCUUUGUGAGGUCUUCCGGGCAUGCCCAGCCGGGAGAAGGCCCGGGGCAGACCUAGGACACGCUGGAGGGAUUAUGUCUCACAGCUGGCCUGGGAACGCCUUGGUGUACUCCCGGUGGAGCUGGAAGACGUGGCCGGGGACCGGGAAGUCUGGGCUUCCCUACUGAGACUGCUGUCCCCGCGACCCGGAUCUGGAUAAGCGGACGGAGGAAAAUGGAUGGAUGGAUAGGUUUUUUAAACCCUUUUCCCACAGAUGCUGUCUGAUGGUUAUUGGGCUGCAGUCACCACCAGUAAGGGCCUUAAUUUGGGUCAAAGACCACCCUGUGUCUUGAUGGACAGCCAAUCAGAUCCUCCGGCUCAGCGCAGGUGUGAUUUUUUUGGGUCUACCACUUGACUUUUUUGUUCCAUAAUUCUCAGGAUCUUUCAAAAAUCUUAGAAUGACUGUCUUGCUGCACCCAACCUCAGCAGCAAUGGCACGCUGCGAGAGGCCUUGCUUAUGAGCAGAUUUUGGCUUUUAUAGCCUCUGGUCUUGAUCAGGUGAUAAACAACCUAUUUCAGGUUUUUUUUUUUUUUUUAAAUUACAAGUUCCAAAUGUUUUUUGUCUCACUCCCCCUUCUUGCUUUUGCAUAUUGUAGCUCUACUUAAAACCUCAUUAAGACCCAAAUGUACAAAAUGCAAAUUCUAGCAAUUUUUCAACUGGUCUUAAGAUUUUGAUCAGGAUGUAUAUACAUAUACACAUACCACAAUAGUGUUUUUAAAUAAGUGGUGGAGGCAGUAACAUUAACCAUAACAAACAUUACCAUUAUUUUGAUUUUACAUUUGAGCACAAAUUGAAGUAAUUGCACCUAGAAUGUACUGUGAAACAUGACAUGUAAUUUGUAAUCCCAUGUUUCUUAGUAAUAAUUGCACUAUGCUAUGAGGAAUCUUAGCCUUAUCUUUGAUGCUGCAGCAAUCGUUUGUUUACAUGAAAUAUCUGUAAAUUUUAAUAUUUCAAAUCCUUGUGUCUUUAAUUUGUUCACUGCAAAUAAAUUUGUUAGUUGUGCAUGGUUGU